GCGAUCAUGGUGUAGUGGUUAGCAUUAGCGCCUUCCAAGCGCUAGAGUCGGGUUCGAUUCCCGAUGGUCGCA
rnacentral:tRNA from 12 species